UACGUAGGAGGCAAGCGUUGUCCGGAAUUACUGGGCGUAAAGAGCUCGUAGGCGGCCUGUUGCGUCCGCUGUGAAAGCCCGGGGCUUAACCCCGGGUCUGCAGUGGAUACGGGCAGGCUAGAGGUAGGUAGGGGAGAAUGGAAUUCCCGGUGUAGCGGUGAAAUGCGCAGAUAUCGGGAGGAACACCGGUGGCGAAGGCGGUUCUCUGGGCCUUACCUGACGCUGAGGAGCGAAAGCGUGGGGAGCGAACAGG
rnacentral:rRNA from 1 species